AAUGUCCCGGCCAGUACUUCC
rnacentral:miRNA from 1 species